GACGAACGCUGGCGGCGUGCCUAAUACAUGCAAGUAGAACGCUGAAGGAGGAGCUUGCUUCUCUGGAUGAGUUGCGAACGGGUGAGUAACGCGUAGGUAACCUGCCUGGUAGCGGGGGAUAACUAUUGGAAACGAUAGCUAAUACCGCAUAAUAGUAGAUGUUGCAUGACAUUUGCUUAAAAGGUGCAAUUGCAUCACUACCAGAUGGACCUGCGUUGUAUUAGCUAGUUGGUGAGGUAACGGCUCACCAAGGCGACGAUACAUAGCCGACCUGAGAGGGUGAUCGGCCACACUGGGACUGAGACACGGCCCAGACUCCUACGGGAGGCAGCAGUAGGGAAUCUUCGGCAAUGGACGGAAGUCCGACCGAGCAACGCCGCGUGAGUGAAGAAGGUUUUCGGAUCGUAAAGCUCUGUUGUAAGAGAAGAACGAGUGUGAGAGUGGAAAGUUCACACUGUGACGGUAUCUUACCAGAAAGGGACGGCUAACUACGUG
rnacentral:rRNA from 1 species